CUUGUACUCCCUCCGUUCGGAAUUACUUGUCGUGAAAAUGGAUGUAUCUAGACAUAUUUUAGUUCUAGAUACAUCCAUUUCCGAGACAAGUAAUUCCGAACAGAGGGAGUAGUAC
rnacentral:pre_miRNA from 1 species